rnacentral:lncRNA from 1 species
AUAAAUUGAAAAGAACUUGUAAUAUACCUGAACGACAGGUAAGGUUAAUUUGUAUUACGAAAGUGGAGAUUUUGGUUUGAUACGAUUGAAGCGUCCAUUUUAUUUUCAAAUUACACUCAAAACUAUUUGAGGCAAAGGGUAAGUUUUUUUUUCAAUAUCUUUCAUAAAAUGAAGAUAAUAGAUAUCGUAAAUAAUUGAUUAAAAUUUUCAUAUAUCAUCAUGUAUAUUAUACUGAAACGAUAUUUUAAAUAAAUGUAUCACAAAAAAAAAAUCCCGAAGUAAUUAGAAAAUGAAAAGUAUAUAAGCACAAAAUCAAAAGAUAAGAUAACAUUAAAUAUGUAAUAGUUCUUAAUCUGGGAUCCCUCUUUCUCUCAUUUAUUUCGCCUUGAUGCUAUGCGUUGUGAGUCGUCAUUUUGCGUUUAAUAUAAACCUUUCCUCUCAAUUUGUAUUAUUCAUUCAUAUAGAGCGUACACCAUAUGAACAAAAUUAUGACGAGAGUAUGCUCUGCUUGUUUUCCUAUUGCCGAGUUCAGUUACUAUUAAUAUUGUUUUACAAUUGAAAAAUAUUUUAAUACAAAUAUUUAUUCAAAAGGUUUAAAUGCAUUUGGUAACUUCACUAUUUGAAUGAAAUAUCUGUAAAUAGAAGUGAACUGUAGCGUUAAGGAUAGUUGAUUUAAAUUACACCGACUUUUAAAUACGUCAAAUAGUGACUUGUAUAUUUUGAUACCGAAAGUUGAAAUUUCGGUUAGAUUUCAUCUAUGCGGCAUUUGUUUUUAAAAAGUGUUGAAAAUUAGUUAGUUCCAUGAAAGGUAAAUUUUUUUUUAUCAAAAAGUGUUUGUAGAGGUUUGGACAGCACUUACAUACGAAACAGAUAAAUUGAACUUUUAAAACAUUAUUCAUGUUAUACUUAUGCAGUCUUUAUACCCUAUUCGUUAAGUAAAUGGAACACAUUCACAGUAUGUACUGUAGAUUCAAUUUAUAAUUUACAGCCAAUCAUGAUCCAUAACUCGAGAAACGACGAAAAGGAUAAGGAACAAAAUGUUCAUGGAUUAAGAAAAAUAAGCUUAUGCGAAAAAUACUGCGUCAAACAUUUUCCUUAUCCUGGAAGGCGCAGAUACACACCAUGUGUAUAUCAAUCUGAAGACGGAGGGAUCACUAUAUCAAAUGAUGUUUUUGGGCUGACAAUCAGACAGUUUGAACGAAUAUAUAAUACGUGUUUAGACAGACGAAAAGCACACAAACAGUACAUUCUUAAUAUAAGAUAUCCUGAAAAAACAUCGGACGAAUAUAUGGAAUACUUAGAGAACAGUAGAUAUUGCAAUCAAGGUAAUUACAAAAUAUACAUUGGUAUAUUUGUUAUUCAUA